GUGGGGAAUAUUGGACAAUGGGCGAAAGCCUGAUCCAGCCAUGCCGCGUGUGUGAAGAAGGUCUUCGGAUUGUAAAGCACUUUAAGUUGGGAGGAAGGGUAGUAACCUAAUACGUUGCUACUUUGACGUUACCGACAGAAUAAGCACCGGCUAACUUCGUGCCAGCAGCCGCGGUAAUACGAAGGGUGCAAGCGUUAAUCGGAAUUACUGGGCGUAAAGCGCGCGUAGGUGGUUCAGUAAGUUGGAAGUGAAAUCCCCGGGCUCAACCUGGGAACUGCUUUCAAAACUGCUGGGCUAGAGUACGGUAGAGGGUGGUGGAAUUUCCUGUGUAGCGGUGAAAUGCGUAGAUAUAGGAAGGAACACCAGUGGCGAAGGCGACCACCUGGACUGAUACUGACACUGAGGUGCGAAAGCGUGGGGAGCAAACAGGAUUAGAUACCCCAGUAGUCC
rnacentral:rRNA from 1 species